AACGAACGCUGGCGGCAGGCCUAACACAUGCAAGUCGAACGCCCUAGCAAUAGGGAGUGGCAGACGGGUGAGUAACACGUGGGAACCUUCCCUAUAGUACGGAAUAUACCAGGGAAACUUGGAGCAAUACCGUAUACGCCCGAGAGGGGAAAGAUUUAUCGCUAUAGGAUGGGCCCGCGUAGGAUUAGCUAGUUGGUGAGGUAAUGGCUCACCAAGGCGACGAUCCUUAGCUGGUUUGAGAGAACGACCAGCCACACUGGGACUGAGACACGGCCCAGACUCCUACGGGAGGCAGCAGGUGGGGGAAUAUUGGACAAUGGGCGCAAGCCUGAUCCAGCCAUGCCGCGUGAGUGAUGAAGGCCUUAGGGUUGUAAAGC
rnacentral:rRNA from 1 species